CAGGGUUUUAGUAGUUAUUGAUAUAUUACAGGGUUUUAGUAGUUAUUGAGAUAUUACAGGGUUUUAGUAGUUAUUGAUGUUUUACAGGGUUUUAGUAGUUAUUGAGAUAUUACAGGGUUUUAGUAGUUAUUGAGAUAUUACAGGGUUUUAGUAGUUAUUGAGAUAUUACAUUGUUUUAGUAGUUAUUGAGAUAUUACAGGUCAGGGUUUUAGUAGUUAUUGAGAUAUUACAGGUCAGGGUUUUAGUAGUUAUUGAUAUAUUACAGGGUUUAAGUAGUUAUUGAGAUAUUACAGGUCAGGGUUUUAGUAGUUAUUGAUAUAUUACAGGUCAGGGUUU
rnacentral:lncRNA from 1 species